CAGAGUGAAGUAAUCCCUGAGAGAAGGUAGUAGGAGGGUGUUGUUGUUUUUUUAAGAUAACAUCCCAAACUAGUAUUAUAGGAUUGUGUUGCCUGCUGCCUUGUAAAGUGGAGAGCUAAGGGCUGAAGGCUAGGGCACAAUGGAGGGACUUGACUGCUGUGGUCUCUGCACUGGAGAGUUGAAUGCUGGGGAUUGCUCCAAGGAAAGCUAUUGAAGUAAGAGAGCCUGAAGUGGACUCCUUUACAGGGAAAACUUGGGAGGGACAUUUGGCCUCUGCCUGCUGGAAGAAGGUGCUCCAGGUGGGGCCACUCUGACAUUGGCAUGCUGAAAUGCAGUAGAGGAAGACUAUAAAUAGGAAACCGUGGAGACUGUCUGGAUGAAAUAGUAGCUGAACCAUCCACAGAUAAAAGGUAUCCACCGCAAGGGCUAGGUCUCAAGGAGUGUACGCUAUCCAGAUCCAAAUCAACUGGUACUGCCUAUCCUACUGGGACCAAGAGAAGAAGACUGAAACUUAUUUCUAGUGGUGAGCGUUCCCCUGAUGAAGAGGGGUUGGUAGGAGGCCAUGGAUCUGCCACCCUAGUCUAGCUGUAAGACACUCAAGGGACGUAUAUACUUUGAAACGCACAUCUUGCAAGAAGGGCCGAGGCCCCCCCCCUCCCCCCACACACGCACCAUGAGACAGUUGGAAGGAAGUGUGUGGGGUCUAUGUAUGGGUACACUGUUUACAGUUCCUCUUGUAGUAGCAACAAGUUUGGCAGGUUGGGUGAGAAACACCAAAAGUCUAUCCUAUACUAGUGACUUGCUUAUGAGAAAUAUUCACAACCGGUUUAAGUAUUGCUUGUGGAUGUUCUCUCUCAAAAAAUGUCUCUGAAGUGUAACUCUGUGUAAUGUUAAAUCUUCAUCCUGAGAGGAUUAAACUUGGGCCUGUGCUUGAGUAGAGGAAUAGAUUAAAAUGCAGGAAAGUGGAAGUAAUCCCAUUAUCUCAGCCCUUUACCUGCUAAUGUAGGUAGGCACACAUUAAGAAUAACCUCCCAAAUUGGUUACCAUCUGUCUCUGUGGACUAACUCCCUUUUACUCCAUGAGUAGAAAUCAAAGGAACAGCCCUGCGUACUAGGAUGGCUCCAGGGUUUGGACAAAGUGUCUGUUUCUUGAAUGUAAAAUUGUUAUGGGUAAGGAUGAAAUGGGUGUGUUUUGGGUGGAUAUCUGAGGGUUGUCCAUUGUCUUAUAAAUAUUUGAGGUAGGCAGCUAUUCUGUCAAUGUGAGGGAUGCUGGUGUAUAGGGAGGUGAUCAUCUUGGUGGCAAGGAUGGUCUGAGGGAGAACGCUGCAUAGCUCGAAAGCUUGUCUCUCUCACCAGCGGAAGUUGGUCCAAUAAGAGUCCCUCACCUACCUUCUCUAGUAUCCUGGAACUGACAUGGCUACAGCAACACUGUGUAUACCAACAUGAGUGCUUUUCUGCUAUAAUUUUUCACUUGCCAAACUAGUUAUAAGCUAGAUUGACCAACCUAGUCUAAUGCAGAUGUAGCCUUUGAGAGGGAUGCUGUAAGCCUAAAAAUAAGGAUUAUUCAGUCAGUCAUUUUGCCUAUUCGUUCCCCUUGAUGUCAAGGACUGAACAGGCAGUAUUGACUGCCAAUCACCGUGCAGAACAUUAGCUGAUAGGCCAGGAAGCAGCUUUUAAAUUUAACAACUGGCUUUAUGGAAACCCUAAGUGUGUGUCUAUCCCUGCCACCCAGCAUCCAAUCAGACUCCCGAUUCCUUCUCCCAGGUACAGCCAUACCAGCCUACUGGCCUU